rnacentral:rRNA from 1 species
AACGAACGCUGGCGGCAGGCCUAACACAUGCAAGUCGAGCGGGACCUUCGGGUCUAGCGGCGGACGGGUUAGUAACGCGUGGGAACGUGCCCAAAGGUACGGAAUAGCCUCGGGAAACUGAGAGUAAUACCGUAUGUGCCCCUCGGGGGAAAGAUUUAUCGCCUUUGGAUCGGCCCGCGUUGGAUUAGGUAGUUGGUGGGGUAAUGGCCUACCAAGCCGACGAUCCAUAGCUGGUUUGAGAGGAUGAUCAGCAACACUGGGACUGAGACACGGCCCAGACUCCUACGGGAGGCAGCAGUGGGGAAUCUUAGACAAUGGGGGAAACCCUGAUCUAGCCAUGCCGCGUGAGCGAUGGAGGCCUUAGGGUUGUAAAGCUCUUUCAGAUGGGAAGAUAAUGACGGUACCAUCAGAAGAAGCCCCCGGCUAACUCCGUG